AGAGUUUGAUCCUGGCUCAGAACGAACGCUGGCGGCGUGGAUAAGACAUGCAAGUCGAACGAGAGAAUUGCUAGCUUGCUAAUAAUUCUCUAGUGGCGCACGGGUGAGUAACACGUGAGUAACCUGCCCCCGAGAGCGGGAUAGCCCUGGGAAACUGGGAUUAAUACCGCAUAGUAUCGAAAGAUUAAAGCAGCAAUGCGCUUGGGGAUGGGCUCGCGGCCUAUUAGUUAGUUGGUGAGGUAACGGCUCACCAAGGCGAUGACGGGUAGCCGGUCUGAGAGGAUGUCCGGCCACACUGGAACUGAGACACGGUCCAGACACCUACGGGUGGCAGCAGUCGAGAAUCAUUCACAAUGGGGGAAACCCUGAUGGUGUGACGCCGCGUGGGGGAAUGAAGGUCUUCGGAUUGUAAACCCCUGUCAUGUGGGAGCAAAUUAAAAAGAUAGUACCACAAGAGGAAGAGACGGCUAACUCUGUGCCAGCAGCCGCGGUAAUACAGAGGUCUCAAGCGUUGUUCGGAAUCACUGGGCGUAAAGCGUGCGUAGGCUGUUUCGUAAGUCGUGUGUGAAAGGCGCGGGCUCAACCCGCGGACGGCACAUGAUACUGCGAGACUAGAGUAAUGGAGGGGGAACCGGAAUUCUCGGUGUAGCAGUGAAAUGCGUAGAUAUCGAGAGGAACACUCGUGGCGAAGGCGGGUUCCUGGACAUUAACUGACGCUGAGGCACGAAGGCCAGGGGAGCGAAAGGGAUUAGAUACCCCUGUAGUCCUGGCAGUAAACGGUGCACGCUUGGUGUGCGGGGAAUCGACCCCCUGCGUGCCGGAGCUAACGCGUUAAGCGUGCCGCCUGGGGAGUACGGUCGCAAGAUUAAAACUCAAAGAAAUUGACGGGGACCCGCACAAGCGGUGGAGUAUGUGGCUUAAUUCGAUGCAACGCGAAGAACCUUACCUGGGCUUGACAUGUAAUGAACAACAUGUGAAAGCAUGCGACUCUUCGGAGGCGUUACACAGGUGCUGCAUGGCCGUCGUCAGCUCGUGUCGUGAGAUGUUUGGUUAAGUCCAGCAACGAGCGCAACCCCUGUUGCCAGUUACCAGCACGUGAAGGUGGGGACUCUGGCGAGACUGCCCAGAUCAACUGGGAGGAAGGUGGGGACGACGUCAGGUCAGUAUGGCCCUUAUGCCCAGGGCUGCACACGUACUACAAUGCCCAGUACAGAGGGGGCCGAAGCCGCGAGGCGGAGGAAAUCCUGAAAACUGGGCCCAGUUCGGACUGUAGGCUGCAACCCGCCUACACGAAGCCGGAAUCGCUAGUAAUGGCGCAUCAGCUACGGCGCCGUGAAUACGUUCCCGGGUCUUGCACACACCGCCCGUCA
rnacentral:rRNA from 1 species